rnacentral:rRNA from 1 species
GACGAACGCUGGCGGCGUGCUUAACACAUGCAAGUCGAACGGUAAGGCCCUUCGGGGUACACGAGUGGCGAACGGGUGAGUAACACGUGGGUGAUCUGCCCUGCACUUCGGGAUAAGCCUGGGAAACUGGGUCUAAUUCCGGAUAGGACCACUGCCUGCAUGGGUGGUGGUGGAAAGCUUUUGCGGUGUGGGAUGGGCCCGCGGCCUAUCAGCUUGUUGGUGGGGUGAUGGCAUACCAAGGCGACGACGGGUAGCCGGCCUGGGAGGGUGAGCGGCCAAACUGGGACUGAGAUACAGGCCAGACUCCUACGGGAGGCAGCAGUGGGGCAUAUUGCACAAUGGGCGCAAGCCUGAUGCAGCGCCGCCGCGUGAGGGAUGACGGCCUUCGGGUUGUAAACCUCUUUCAGCACCGACGAAGCGCAAGUGACGGUAGGUGCAGAAGAAGGACCGGCCAACUACGUGCCAGCCGCCGCCGUAA